UACGGGGGGAGCAAGCGUUGUUCGGAUUUACUGGGCGUAAAGGGCGCGUAGGCGGCGUGACAAGUCACUUGUGAAAUCUCCGGGCUUAACCCGGAACGGUCAAGUGAUACUGUCGUGCUAGAGUACAGAAGGGGCAACUGGAAUUCUCGGUGUAGCGGUGAAAUGCGUAGAUAUCGAGAGGAACACCUGCGGCGAAGGCGGGUCGCUGGGCUGAUACUGACGCUGAGGCGCGAAAGCCAGGGGAGCGAACGGG
rnacentral:rRNA from 1 species